AUGACAGAAAACGUGACCUACUGUGACAAACACGUAUCAUCACGGAAGUGUCUUUUUUUUGUAGUGAAGACAAGGCGUAGAUUUCUAUGGGCACAAGAAGAAGAGCUGUCGGGACGGAAGUGCAAAGUGAAUUGGAAGACAUCAUGUUCACCAAUCGAGAAGGGGGGGCUCGGGAUACAAGAUCUUCAGCGUUUGGGCAGAGCUCUUCGGCUACGGUGGCUCUGGAUGGCCUGGACACAUCCAUCCAGGCCAUGGAAAGACUUUCCCACACCCUGCGAUCAGGAAGACAAGCAGCUAUUU
rnacentral:rRNA from 1 species